UUGGAGGAUGAAACAAAGGAAUCUGACU
rnacentral:piRNA from 1 species